UACAGAGGGUGCGAGCGUUAAUCGGAAUUACUGGGCGUAAAGCGUGCGUAGACGGUUAUUUAAGUCGGGUGUGAAAGCCCCGGGCUCAACCUGGGAAUUGCAUUCGAGACUGAAUAGCUAGGGUACGGUAGAGGGAAGUGGAAUUCCGGUGUAGCGGUGAAAUGCGUAGAUAUCGGAAAGGAACAUCAGUGGCGAAAGCGACUUCCUGGACCAGUACCGACGUUCAGGCACGAAGCGUGGGAGCAAACAGG
rnacentral:rRNA from 1 species